rnacentral:snRNA from 1 species
GGAUGUGAGGGUAAUCUGGCUGUGACAUCUGUCACCCCAUUGAUUGCCAGGAUUGAUUUGGCUGAUCUGGCUGGCUAGGCAGGUGUCCCCUCCCUCCCCCAGUGCUCCACAUUUGUCCCUCUCGAAGCUCUGUGCUCAGUCAAAAAGGACAAUCUUCUGUAAUAGAGAAGGACCAUCCUUUAGUCAAGGGUGUAUGAAUAGCUGUGCUCCCCCACUAAACCUCCAAACAUACUCUCAAAACAUGAAAAAGCUUUGGUACAAAACCGAAAGAAUGUUUGUGUGGAGGGAAACAGGUAGGGAAAGGGAACAGAAGUAAAUACUUAAACAAACAUGAUUUUUAUUUUUU